AUUGAACGCUGGCGGCAGGCCUAACACAUGCAAGUCGAACGGUAACAGGAAGAAGCUUGCUUCUUUGCUGACGAGUGGCGGACGGGUGAGUAAUGUCUGGGAAACUGCCUGAUGGAGGGGGAUAACUACUGGAAACGGUAGCUAAUACCGCAUAACGUCGCAAGACCAAAGAGGGGGACCUUCGGGCCUCUUGCCAUCGGAUGUGCCCAGAUGGGAUGAGCUAGUAGGUGGGGUAACGGCUCACCUAGGCGACGAUCCCUAGCUGGUCUGAGAGGAUGACCAGCCACACUGGAACUGAGACGCGGUCCAGACUCCUACGGGAGGCAGCAGUGGGGAAUAUUGCACAAUGGGCGCAAGCCUGAUGCAGCCAUGCCGCGUGUAUGAAGAAGGCCUUCGGGUUGUAAAGUACUUUCAGCGGGGAGGAAGGGAGUAAAGUUAAUACCUUUGCUCAUUGACGUUACCCGCAGAAGAAGCACCGGCUAACUCCGUG
rnacentral:rRNA from 1 species